AGUGAACGCUGGCGGUAGGCCUAACACAUGCAAGUCGAACGGCAGCACAGUAAGAGCUUGCUCUUACGGGUGGCGAGUGGCGGACGGGUGAGGAAUACAUCGGAAUCUACUUUUUCGUGGGGGAUAACGUAGGGAAACUUACGCUAAUACCGCAUACGACCUACGGGUGAAAGCAGGGGAUCUUUGGACCUUGUGCGAUUGAAUGAGCCGAUGUCGGAUUAGCUAGUUGGCGGGGUAAAGGCCCACCAAGGCGACGAUCCGUAGCUGGUCUGAGAGGAUGGUCAGCCACACUGGAACUGAGACAGGGUCCAGACUCCUGCGGUAGGCAGCAGUGGGGAAUAUUGGGCAAUGGGGGCAAGCCUGAUCCAGCCAUACCGCGUGGGUGAAGAAGGCCUUCGGGUUGGAAAGCCCUUUUGGUGGGAGAGAAAAGCAGCAGGUUGAGACCCCGCGGUUCUGACGGUACCCAAAGAAUAAGCACCGGCUAACUUCGUG
rnacentral:rRNA from 1 species